rnacentral:rRNA from 1 species
AUUGAACGCUGGCGGCAUGCCUAACACAUGCAAGUCGAACGGCAGCACAGAGGAGCUUGCUCCUUGGGUGGCGAGUGGCGGACGGGUGAGUAAGGCAUCGGGACCUACCCAGACGUGGGGGAUAACCUCGGGAAACCGGGACUAAUACCGCAUACGUCCUACGGGAGAAAGCGGGGGACCUUCGGGCCUCGCGCGGCUGGACGGACCGAUGUGCGAUUAGCUAGUUGGUAGGGUAAUGGCCUACCAAGGCGACGAUCGCUAGCUGGUCUGAGAGGAUGAUCAGCCACACUGGGACUGACGACACGGCCCAGACUCCUACGGGAGGCAGCAGUGGGGAAUAUUGGACAAUGGGCGCAAGCCUGAUCCAGCAAUGCCGCGUGUGUGAAGAAGGCCUGGUUGUAAGCACUUUAUCAGAGCGAAUACUGCAUGCUUAAUACGUUGUGCGAGUCGUGACGGUAACCGUGAGGAAGUAAGCAACCGGCUAACC